rnacentral:lncRNA from 1 species
AUAAAUAUUACGUAUUAACUCUAUUAUUCUUGAUGCAUGUUACCUUUGGCGAUUAACUAUCGAUAAAAAAAUUUCGCAAUUGUUACAACUUGUGUCUCCUGCCACUUUUGCUACUCGCUACCACCUCCAUAUCUAUGUAGAGUCAUCCUCUUUGGUGGUUCAUCGGCGGCUUCGUGAUUUCGAAGACUUUUUUUGUGCUUCUUGCUUAUUUCUGGUUAGAUUUGAGUGGUUUUGAUGGAAUUUUAUUGUUUUUGGUGGCACCUCUAAUCUGGAUUUGUCCAGAUCUGAGUGAAUAUGAGUUUGUCAACCCUCAUGUCAAACACGAAAUCCAUCAUCACUGUCGCCUUCAAAUCUAGAUAUGGCGGCGGUAGAGUCACCUCAGAAAGUCGUCUAAACUCACCACCACCGACUCUAGUCUCUCAGAUCUAAAGUCAAACAUUACAUCUGUUACCUACCACCGCCGUCGUCUCCCCUGAUGAGUUUUCACUAGUUGUUGAUGACUUUUUUGUGCUUCUUAUUCAGAUUUGGUUAGAUAUGAGUGAUUCGGAUGGAUUUUUAUUGUCUCCAAUGGCAUUUCUAGUCCAGAUAUGAGUGAAAAUGAGUUUGUCAACACCUCCGUCAAAGAUGAAAGCCAUCAACAUCAUCGCCUUUAAAUCCAGAUUGGCGACGGUACCACCACCUCAGACUGUCAGCCAAACUCACCACCACUAAUGAGUUUUCACUAGUCGUAUAUGUAUUCUACGACUGAAACUCUAGCUCCACCAUGAACAACCACACCAUUAGUCUACUCCAGUGUACAAAUCUAUUUCAUCUCCAUGUCUUUGAUGUACAGAUCUACUGGGGUGCAUAAAACUUGCGACCAUUAUUUUGACAAAACUUUCUUCCACCUCCAGAUCUAUGGCCACCUCCACAUUUGCUUCAUCUAUGUUGCGUCCUCCAUCUCCCACUGCCAGACCUGAUGCAGAUGACUGCCACCACCACUGAAAGUUGCUUCCACCCUCUCUCUCACCGCAUCUACAUCAAAUCUUAUUUGUAUGGUGCUUAUAGAUCUUAUGUGUGGUGCACACAAGGUGUUUGAUGAAAUGUUUCAAUAAAAUUGGGUAUGUUUUUAAGUUAUGAAUACUAUGAAUGAGAGUCCUUAACUGUUUUACUAAACUGUGAAUGAGAGUAUUGAAAUGCUCUAUUAAACUGUGAAUUUGUAUGGUGUACACAAAAUGCUUGAUGAAACGUUACAACAAAAUCAAAAAUGUUUUUAAGCUCUGAUUGAGAUUGCUAAUUUGAUUUAUUAUAUUGUGAAAGAAAGUCUAGCAAUAUAGGUUUUAAGUUUAAAAUAUGACUCCGAAUGUGUAAUUUUUGUAUAUUAAACAAUAAAUUUAUUGUAUUAAGUUGUAAAUUAGUUUCUAAAAUAUUAUAUCAAAUUGUGAAUUUUGAUUUUUUUUUCCAUAUCCGAUUUUUAAGGGUUGAAUUUUGGCAGUGUUGGCACCGGUGGUUGGUGGAGACGAUGGUUGAUGGUAGUGUAUGGUAGUUGGAGGUGUUGAAGUCGGUGGUGGUGGUGGUAAAGGGAGAACAUGUUCUAUUUAUCACUCAUCUUCUUUGUUGAUUUAAGAUAAGUUAUCAUGUUUUAUGAUAUAUAUAUAUAUAUAUAUAUAUAUAUAUAUAUAUAUAUAUAUAUAU